GAGUUUGAUCGUGGCUCAGGACGAACGCUGGCGGCGUGCCUAAUACAUGCAAGUCGAGCGGAUCUUCAUUAGCUUGCUUUUGAAGAUCAGCGGCGGACGGGUGAGUAACACGUGGGCAACCUGCCUGUAAGACUGGGAUAACUUCGGGAAACCGGAGCUAAUACCGGAUAAUCCUUUUCCUCUCAUGAGGAAAAGCUGAAAGACGGUUUCGGCUGUCACUUACAGAUGGGCCCGCGGCGCAUUAGCUAGUUGGUGAGGUAACGGCUCACCAAGGCGACGAUGCGUAGCCGACCUGAGAGGGUGAUCGGCCACACUGGGACUGAGACACGGCCCAGACUCCUACGGGAGGCAGCAGUAGGGAAUCUUCCGCAAUGGACGAAAGUCUGACGGAGCAACGCCGCGUGAGCGAUGAAGGCCU
rnacentral:rRNA from 1 species